rnacentral:rRNA from 1 species
GAUGAACGCUGGCGGCGUGCCUAAUACAUGCAAGUCGAGCGAACAGACGAGGAGCUUGCUCCUCUGACGUUAGCGGCGGACGGGUGAGUAACACGUGGAUAACCUACCUAUAAGACUGGGAUAACUUCGGGAAACCGGAGCUAAUACCGGAUAAUAUAUUGAACCGCAUGUUUAAUAGUGAAAGACGGGUUUUGCUUUCACUUAUAAUUGAAUCCGCGCCGCAUUAGCUAGUUGGUAAGGUAACGGCUUACCAAGGCAACGAUGCGUAGCCGACCUGAGAGGGUGAUCGGCCACACUGGAACUGAGACACGGUCCAGACUCCUACGGGAGGCGGCAGUAGGGAAUCUUCCGCAAUGGGCGAAAGCCUGACGGAGCAACGCCGCGUGAGUGAUGAAGGUCUUCGGAUCGUAAAACUCUGUUAUUAGGGAAGAACAAAUGUGUAAGUAACUAUGCACGUCUUGACGGUACCUAAUCAGAAAGCCACGGCUAACUACGUG